CGACUAAGAUCAGUCCUGGCAGGCCGCAAGGCACACACGCAUCAUCCGCGACUACGAAGCCAACGGACUUCGCGAUGCGGGUGCAGUGAUUGACCUAGCACGUGGAUACAUGGCGACCAGGACGGCUACCACGGAAACGGGUGCAACCGACUCGAGCCGGGAGAUGGAGGUGCCACCAGGGUUCGUCCCUCUUCUGGGGAACGCUCUGCCACGAGCGAGGGACCCGCCCGCAGUUGCUCCUUCUCAAGUGUCGCCGCCUCCCGCAUGUGCAUCGGGACCGUCGACACCACCUGCAGCACAUCCAACACCGACAACAGUGGUGAGGGUGCCUCCUUCGAUGGGGACACUCUCACUCCAUCCGAUGGCUAGAAUCGUGAUCUCACUCCAACCUUUGAAGAAUGCGAGCCUUCCACCCUUCCGCUGCAGCAGCUGCACAUUGUUGCCGAAAGCCGCGAUGGUCGUUGACCACACCCUUGUGAUCUUCACCUACUAGACAACAGCUUUCCAAGUGCAGAUGUAAAAGCAUGGUACCGUUGUAUGUGGCUGCAAGAGGCAUCCCCAAGGCCCUUUUGCAGGACCUGAUGUUGGAAUGUAGAGAGAUAUGUGGAGGUUGUCUAACUAGCUUGUUUGUCUAUGAGUGUGUUUCUAGUGCUGGCUUGAUGAGACUGUUGAACAUAUCUUCUUUUUUUGUUUGCUAGGAGUGUGUGCCCCUUUGUAAGUACGGUGCUGAUUAAGCUUAAGUACAUGUUGUGUGUGAUUAUGAUAAUCUCGUCAUAUUUGAAUGUGGCGAAAUCUCCCCAAAGAGAACUCCAGAUUCAGUCCAGGGCUCCAGGCCACCAAAAGCUUCCAUAUGUGCGUUUACUCACCG